rnacentral:tRNA from 1 species
GCCAAGGUGGCAGAGUGGUAAUGCAGCGGCCUGCAGAGCCGCCUCUUCCCCGGUUCAAAUCCGGGCCUUGGCU